ensembl:lncRNA
GAAAGAGAGAGAGAGAGAAGGAAAGAGAGAAAGAGAGAGAGAAGGAAAGAGAGAGAAGGAAAGAAGGAAAGAGAGAGAGAGAAGGAAAGAGAGAGAGAGAAGGAAAGAGAGAGAGAGAAGAAGAAAGAGAGAGAGAGAGAAGGAAAGAGAGAGAGAAGGAAAGAGAGAGAGAGAGAGAGAGAGAGAGAGAGAGAGAGAGAGAGAGAGAAGGAAAGAGAGAGAGAGAGAGAGAGAGAGAAGGAAAGAGAGAGAGAGAGAGAAGGAAAGAGAGAGAGAGAGAGAAGGAAAGAGAAGGAAAGAAGGAAAGAGAGAGAGAGAGA